GACGAACGCUGGCGGCGUGCCUAAUACAUGCGAGUUGAGCGAUGAAGCUUGGUGCUUGCACCAAUUUGAAGAGCAGCGAACGGGUGAGUAACGCGUGGGGAAUCUGCCUUUGAGCGGGGGACAACAUUUGGAAACGAAUGCUAAUACCGCAUAACAACUUUAAACAUAAGUUUUAAGUUUGAAAGAUGCAAUUGCAUCACUCAAAGAUGAUCCCGCGUUGUAUUAGCUAGUUGGUGAGGUAAAGGCUCACCAAGGCGAUGAUACAUAGCCGACCUGAGAGGGUGAUCGGCCACAUUGGGACUGAGACACCGCCCAAACUCCUACGGGAGGCAGCAGUAGGGAAUCUUCGGCAAUGGACGAAAGUCUGACCGAGCAACGCCGCGGGAGUGAAGAAGGGUUUCGGAUCGUAAAACUCUGUUGGUAGAGAAGAACGUUGGUGAGAGUGGAAAGCUCAUCAAGUGACGGUAACUACCCAGAAAGGGACGGCUAACUACGUG
rnacentral:rRNA from 1 species